rnacentral:rRNA from 1 species
AUUGAACGCUGGCGGCAGGCUUAACACAUGCAAGUCGAGCGGAGAUGAGGUGCUUGCACCUUAUCUUAGCGGCGGACGGGUGAGUAAUGCUUAGGAAUCUGCCUAUUAGUGGGGGACAACAUUCCGAAAGGAAUGCUAAUACCGCAUACGUGCUACGGGAGAAAGCAGGGGAUCUUCGGACCUGGCGCUAAUAGAUGAGCCUAAGUCGGAUAGGCUAGUUGGUGGGGUAAAGGCCUACCAAGGCGAAGAUCUGUAGCGGGUCUGAGAGGAUGAUCCGCCAAACGGGGACUGAGACACGGGCCAGACUCCUACGGGAGGCAGCAGUGGGGAAUAUUGGACAAUGGGGGGAACCCUGAUCCAGCCAUGCCGCGUGUGUGAAGAAGGCCUUAUGGUUGUAAAGCACUUUAAGCGAGGAGGAGGCUACUGAGACUAAUACUCUUGGAUAGUGGACGUUACUCGCAGAAUAAGCACCGGCUAACUCUGUGCCAGCAGCCGCGGUAAAAC